CUACAGAUCGGCCCAUUUCUGGCUAUUGCAGCCUUUUGGGGAGUGAAACAGCAGAUGGAAAACCUUUCUCUCUCUCUCUCUCUCUCUCUCUGUAACUCCACCUGUCAAAUAAAUAAAUAAAAUCUUUUUAAAAAAGACAGUCUUUGAAAUGCACCUGUCCAAGAUCUCUUACAGCCUUAUUUAUCUUCUCUGAAUUAUUUCUGAUCUUCAGUGUCUACUGCAGAGUACAGGAGUCCUCCAGCAUCAGAAUCAAAGAGGCCCAGCUCCACUCCCUGCUUGCUUGGUUUUCUAUGAAAACUCUUUGCAAUAGCAUUUUGUUGCUAUGACAACCCAGAACAGCAAUUGGAAAUUAGAACAGUGAAGGUGAGAUGGGAAAGACAUACAAAUAGUUCCUAUUUAGCUAAAUACUAUUACUUUUCAAUUUUAUAAAUCCAGGGAAAAUUGUCAUCAAGUAUUCAAAAAUAAUAGUUUUCACCCUUAAAAUCAUAUAGAGUGCCCAGUUAUAUUUGAAUCACGUAUUACUUAUUAAAUAAGAUAAAUCAACUCCUUAAUUUUUCUGAAUCUCAAAAGAAGUUUUUAAAAGUCUAUUUGAGCUUUGAUAACCUGUUGUAUAUUCUGAGCAUUUAGAUUGCUAGAUCAGGAUAUUAUAGCUUUUAAUUGAUUAAAACUUUGGUUUUCAAAAUGUGUUUUGCAAAUCUUCCACAAAAU
rnacentral:lncRNA from 1 species